UCCUUCCUGCCCUCCCUCUUCCCGGCCUCCUUCCUCCCCGGCCUCCUUCCUCCCCGGCCUCCUUCCUCCCUGAGGCAGCAGGGGCCUCCUGCAGGGGCUCUCACUCUGCCAGCAGGUUGUCCUCCCCUUGGCCCAGGCUGUGUUCCUUGGGAACUGGUCCCUGGCCACAGGGAGCUUGGUGCCCGUCCUGCAGCGAGGCAGGGCCAGGUCUCGGCCUGCUCGGCACCACGUGCUCUUUGGUCUUCACCUGCUUCGGCACCACCGCGCUGGUCUUCCCGCCGGCACCACAGCUGACAUGGGCUCUGUGGAAAAGGGGCCCGUGGUUUCCAUUGGCCAGAAGGAAGAGACGUCGUCUUGGCCUGGCUGCUUCCGCCCGUGUCACACCUAAGAUAGCACUGUGUGCUCAGCUGUUCUUACACUGUCUUUGCAAUGAUGUAAAUGCAAGAAACCACUUGGCUGACAGCGAGUGACUGGUCUUACCGAUGUGAAGACCCUUUUAAACAUAUCAAGACUUCGGUGCAUCACAGGUGUGCGUGGGGUGGGAGGUCAGGGACCGUGUUCCCUCAGCUUUGUCUUAAAGAGUAUCAAUGUGAAUGUCAUAAUGAUAUCUAUUUUUGUGGAAGAUUUCUCCUAAGUAUAAGUUAUUGUGCAAAAUAUAGUACCAUUGAAACAAAUGAUAGUUUUAGUUUAGAAAUCCUAAAAGAUAUAAAUUGUAUUACAUAUGCAUUAAAAGUUUGUUUUAUUUAAUUUUAUGUAGCUGUGUAAAGUGUUAGGUAAAGUUCUUCUCGCUUCUCCAUUGAAACACCUUGUUACUUGAAUGUCGUGCUGGCUGGUUUGAAACAGUGAUCAGUUCUGUAAUGUAGCUCUUACCCAGGGAGCCGCCGCCUCCGGGACUGGUGAGCGCGGCCAGGAGCCGAGGUCGGGCGGCACCGCUGAGCGGGCUCGCUGUGUGUGCCACCCAGACACCAGUCCCGUGAAAUGCUUUGAUAGUUUUUAACUGUAAGACCCUUUGAUGCUCACAAACCUCUAAUCAGAACAUGAGUAUGAAAACACAAUUGGUUUACAACUUGACUCUGCAGGACAAAGUAAGCAGUUUCCUGCGUGUAUAAAGUUUCCUCAAAUAUCACGCGCCUGUAAGUGUGCUCAUUGUCACUUUAAAUUCCUACUCCCCCCUAUUUUUGUCUUUCUGAAUAUCAGAUGUACUGUUGGUAUAACCGUGCACCAAAAAUAAGCCACCAGUGCGUUCCACUGGCCGGACCUGCCGGGCGCAGGAGGUGGAGCCGCCUUCCUCUAGCCCCUUGCUGAACCCUAGGACCCAGGAUUCAAGCUUUUGUUCUGUUUUUAUGCAUUAUUUUAUUUAUAUUCAUACCUGAAUCCCAAAUUUAUAAAAUAGCUCUAAACCUGUAUUCCACAACUGAACAUGACACAUUCUUAAGUUAUCACCGUUACGCCAUCGAUGAGUUUGUUUUCGAGCCACCGAACCGUGUGCCAGAGGGCCUUUCCUCUGCUCUGCAGGCAACGGCAUUGCCACCAACUGUGUUCUUCAUGGUUUGGGCCCUUUGGCCAAAAAGGCGUCUAGGUCUUGUUUCAGGUUCAUUGUAGGAUGACGGAGAGCAGCGAUUUCAGUGGUGGUUCCACCGUCCGCCUCGGGAGUCCGGAAGGCUUCUUGUCCUUUUACCGGCUCCAUAAGGAGCGUAGCACCUCCCUCGGCCCAAGCGGAGCGACCCGCCCAGAGCAGAGAGCACCCUCCCCACCAGCCAGACCCGUCCCGCUGGGCUCUGCUCCGUUCGUUCGUUCGCGGGCCUCUUGUUUCCCGAAUGAGAAGGGGCUGGGGCUCCUUCCCCGGUGGUGGAGCCUCAUUGGACCCCAUCAACCGCUCAUGCACCCUUCACACGCGGACUUGGCUUUUAUCGUCAUGAGCCGAAAGAGGCCUUGCACUGUUCUGGGAAUAAUUCCCACGCCUCUGGACCAUGACGUUUUCCCUCCGCUGUUGUCUUCCCAGAGGAUGUCUGUCCACGCAAACACGGUUCCCUGGUUCCCCUCCAGGACACGCUUCACCGCCCUCCGCGCAGCCCGCUCUGGAGACGCGCUGGACUGGAAGGCCUGGGCCAGUGCACAUGGCCGGGCGCCAUCAGGACCGCGUCUUCUGACACUCGGGGGUGUACACGCUCAGUCCUGGAGGAAGCAGGUCGUGGGAGCGGGUCUAGGGCCUCAAGGCUGAGUCCAUCCGCGCUGGCUCCCCCGCACCGGCCUGGUCAGACUGCAGGGCCCAGGGGUUCUGGAGGUUGGGAAGGUGGUCCCCUCCUUCCUCGGAGAGGGCAGAGCCCCCACUUCUCCCCACCCCUACCCCCACCCCCAGUCACUCCUAAAGCCCAGAGUCCAGCUUUUAAUCAUGUGCAGCUUUGCCUCAAGCCGAGGCCUGCGAGGCCCAGCAGCGGGCACCCCUGCGCCUGGGCCCACCUUUCCUCACCCGAUGAAGCACAACCGCCUGCUCAGCGGAUGCCCCGUCCGUGCCCGCCAGCCACCAGUGCAUGCAGACUCGGCUCGGCGGAGUGCUUUGUAAGUUGCUAAAAACUUCAGGAUUUUAAAAGAUGUGCAAGGCUAAGUUUGACACGAUCGUCAAAUUGCUGUAUAUCUUUUCAAGUGAUGAAGCCCACCUGGGGAUUUUAAAGAAAAGAAGUUGUACUAUGCUGUGUGAGAAAUAUUUGACUGUCUGCGCCUGUUUUCUAUCUCAGUACUCAAGAUUAUGGUGACUGUUCAUAGCAUGAUCAUUGCUUAGCCGUUGGAGGUUAACAUUUGUUAGUGGAGAUCGGGAAAAUUUAUUUGUGCGAUUCUGCAGAGUUCAUUUUUCUAUUCCCAAUAUUGGCGGAAGUUAAAUAAAAAUUUUCAAGCCAUUGAUGUAACAAAA